rnacentral:rRNA from 1 species
CCUACGGGGGGCUGCAGUGGGGAAUAUUGGACAAUGGGCGAAAGCCUGAUCCAGCCAUGCCGCGUGUGUGAAGAAGGCCUUCGGGUUGUAAAGCACUUUCAGUGGGGAAGAAAGCCUUGGGGCUAAUACCCUCGAGGAAGGACAUCACCCACAGAAGAAGCACCGGCUAACUCCGUGCCAGCAGCCGCGGUAAUACGGAGGGUGCGAGCGUUAAUCGGAAUUACUGGGCGUAAAGCGCGCGUAGGCGGUCUGAUAAGCCGGUUGUGAAAGCCCCGGGCUCAACCUGGGAACGGCAUCCGGAACUGUCAGGCUAGAGUGCAGGAGAGGAAGGUAGAAUUCCCGGUGUAGCGGCGAAAUGCGUAGAGAUCGGGAGGAAUACCAGUGGCGAAGGCGGCCUUCUGGACUGACACUGACGCUGAGGUGCGAAAGCGUGGGUAGCAAACAGGAUUAGAUACCCUGGUAGUC